rnacentral:lncRNA from 1 species
AAAUCUUAUAAAAUGUGAGUGUUUUGCCAUGAUCAGAUGCCAUGAGGACAAUGAAUCUGAGAGGCACGGGGAAGGCUGGCAGAGCAGCUUGGACAGAGGCGCUCUUGGGGUUGGGGAGGAGAAAUGAGGGCUGAGAUGGUGGUAGUGAAAAUGACAAGGGAAAGGGAACCAUGUAUAAGGAUAAGCGGAGAAGGCUAGCAGAGGGAGGGCUUGGCUGCAUGUGAAUAUCCUGAGGGCUUGAGGCUCCCUUUCGGGUGUGCCUGCUGCUGCCCUCUGCCCACUAUCCUUCCAAAGUCUGGGGGAUGCUGCGGUUUUCUUUCACUCUGCCUGU